GAACAGACUUUCAUCCUCCCAAACCAACACACUGAUGGCACACACAAUGCAGUGAAUGUAUUUAUGUAUUCACAUCUGAACCUGGUACAAAAAAUGGGUUCAAACCCCUCUGAGCAGCAUGUUUAUCUCAAACGGAAGGAGGCGAGUAACAAAAGCCACACGUUAGCUGUUGCUUUUUGUUCGGUUAGCCAGGCUAGGACACUACUCCAAUCAAUAAAUCAGCAAAUCAAAAAAGGCAAGCAAAUUGUUUCUGUAUAACAAAAUAUCACGAAUGUACAGUUAAAAGGACUUUCAAACACAAACACAUUGUUUCUUUCACACGCUAGCUCUGGAGGCUACCAACCAUUUGUGCUGGCUGGACACUAAAAAGUGCUCACUCACACGCGUUAUUUGUAUUACUUUCUCAUUCUACAUACCCCAGCAAGAUACAGCAAUGCUCCCAGAUGUCGAAGACGCCUUCGCCUGAUGGCCUUUCGUCGAUUCGACGCAGAUAUUUGUAAAAAUAGCUUCAUAGCCAAGGAGAGUGUGGGCACCACAGCAGUAGGCGUGUCUGUUUGGUUCCGUCGCUUUUUGAUGACGUCACAACUGGCGGAAUGGACUUAUGACGUACUUGAGUGUGAAGGGGUGUCCCAAUUCGUAGGGCUAACGUUUCAAGCCCUACCCCUUAUUGCUCCGUUUGAAGGGCCAAGGGGUAGGGGUAAGGGGUAGGGCCAAGGGGUGAAAUGGGAUUCACCCUAAUGCUUCGUGAAAAUUUCUAAUUUUUGCGAUAAACUCAUUUUAGCCUCUCCCAGUUAAAACGGAUUGGACAUCUAUCGCCUACAAUGGCAGUGAUUGGUGGCGUCCAGGUGUUUUCCUAGCAGAGCGCUGUGAUGAAUAUUCAGGCUCUCUCUCUCUGGAUUCAGCUCGUCUCCAAUCACCAGGAUAUCACAGUAGUCCAGUGAGAGCUUGUCGGACGUUUCCUCUCACAUCUGCUGAAGCCGUCCCCCUUCAUGACGGUACUGGUGAUGGAAAGCUCCUUGAAAGGCGCCACGCCCAAGGGAGCGCGAAGGUCAGCGGCAGGCCUGACCAGCCGAUCGGAACCAGUGAUGGUGAUUCGGGGUUCGCUGGGGGGUUGAACCAUGACGACCGCCCUGACGUCGGGGACGGAGAGACACGCCUCCUCCCCGAAACAUCUGACGAGCAGCAGUUAGAAAAUGGCAUCAGACGAAUUCUGAUACUGUGCUAAAUAUUUUUCAUAAAGAUUAAAAUUAAUGAGUUAAACUGUUUUUAUGUGUCUCAUGCAUAAUAAUAAUUUUCAUAGUUGAUU